rnacentral:lncRNA from 1 species
UGACAAUGCGUGAUGUCAACACCUCAUCAGACCUGCUUCGGCUGAGGUCUACAAGGGAGCAAAACUGCCCAAGAGCUUCAGGCUCACCCAAAGCACACAUGGCACACCGGGCUUCUUGGUCACUAACACCGUCAAGAAGGCAACAACACAAAUGGCCGGAAUGAAUUCAUCAGAGGACAACUGGAAUCUAGAAUUACACUCUUAAAGCACAAGGGGAAAAUCAAAACAAACGUGAAGAAAUCCAUUCAAAUGAAUAUGAAGAAAUGUCAGUUUGACCUUACCAUACACUGGGAAUCGAAGAAAGUCUUUCUAUUUCUAGACUAUCAUUCAAAAAACAUAAAAGAAACAAAGAAAGAAAAGAGGAAAUGGAUG